UAAUUGGAAAGCUGCGCGGUAAACCGUGGCGCAUGUCACUCUGCUGACGAAAAUCGUGGUGACAGGACGCCCAUCAUCCCGCUCGAGAUGCUGAAUUUCAAUCGUGAAUUUUGUUGGAAUAUUGCGUCGUCACUUAACCUUUAUAAACAACUUCGUAGCAUGACUCAUGGGAACGUUUCGACGGAAAUUUAAGCAGG